UUUGUGUUUUGUUGGAGAAGUUACGGUUUUGAAAGACUGUGUUUAAGAGAAAGAUUGAUAUAAUUGUAAUUGUUGAUCAUAUUUAUGUGACUGGAGUUAAUGAUAAAAGUCAACUAUUAGACGGAAGUGCUGAUAAUUACAAAGAAAACUAUAAGUGAAAAUACUGUCGCCGUCGCCGGAUUGUCGAAUUCAGACGCUGAUUGACAAGUCAGAUGGAAAUAAAAAAGGCAAGGCGAGGAGCAAAUUAUCGGGGGCAGUAACUGUGUAAAACCGUCGAAAAGGCAUUUCAGUAGCUCAGGAUACUUCAUUGCAUCAACUGGGUUUCGGCAGUCUAAAAUCACACACAUUCUUGAUGUCCAAGCAAAAGUAUGGAGGGCAGAUAGUGAAGUAGGUCAUUUCUCAUCAUAUCUGUAAAACAUAUCUGUGAAACGGGCCAGUGGCGGCA